CACUACGUUAUCCACCUCUCCUCACUGUUCUCCACUUAGUCAAUUGCACCCUCCACCUUUCUCCCUAAUGCCCCCACCUUCCCCCUUCUCCUCCUCCUCCUCCUCUCUCUUUCUCUCUAUAUGUGUGUGUGUGUGUGUGUGUGCGCACGCGUGAGAGAGAGACAGAGAGAGAGAGGUUGUUAUGUUAUCACAUGGGAACUCCACCCACAAGUCAAAGUUCACCUCCUCUCAAAUUGGACAGCCACAAAGAUUGAUGGGUAUGACUUGAUAGCCUAUAUAACUUUCUACUACUUGAAGCCCUGGAACGGAUCAGCAUGCCAUGGGAUUUGGAGUGAAGGUAAUUUCAGAGGAUAGGCGCUGUCUGAGGGGAUAGAUUGAUGUGGUGGUUCGAUAGCAUGUUUGGGUGUGUGAUAUCCUUGCCAUGCUUUUGUCAAGUCGACAGUCCUUAGGCACACCUCACGAUGGGGAGGUCAUGGCUCCCACAGUAAAGCUGAAAAAUCUUCCUCCUUUAAUCCAAAUCGUCCUUCUUUUUCUCGGAGAGGGAGGGAGAGGGGGAGGGAUGGAAGGCGAGGGAGGGAGAGAGAUCAAAAUUAACCAUUUGCCAACAACUAAAGUUUCUCCGGAAAUGUUUUACAAUACAUUAUCGCAUAGAAGCCAAGAAAAGCAGUGAACUCCAGUGAUGAGUUAUCUAAUUAAGAUCUUUUUUUUUCUGAAAAUAUAUAUAAAGAAAUGAAGCUGUGUUAGGAGUUAUUGUCCAAAACUUUCAAUAAAUAAGAACCCUAUGGGGUUGGAUACGCCUUUGAUCGAGCA